rnacentral:rRNA from 1 species
GACGAACGCUGGCGGCGUGCUUAACACAUGCAAGUCGAGCGGUAAGGCCCUUUCGGGGGUACGACGAGCGGCGAACGGGUGAGUAACACGUGGGUGACCUGCCCUCAGCUCUGGGAUAAGCCUGGGAAACUGGGUCUAAUACCGGAUAUGACUCCAUGACGCAUGUUGUGGGGUGGAAAGCCUUGUGCGGCUGAGGAUGGGCCCGCGGCCUAUCAGCUUGUUGGUGGGGUGAUGGCCUACCAAGGCGACGACGGGUAGCCGGCCUGAGAGGGCGACCGGCCACACUGGGACUGAGACACGGCCCAGACUCCUACGGGAGGCAGCAGUGGGGAAUCUUGCGCAAUGGGCGAAAGCCUGACGCAGCGACGCCGCGUGAGGGAUGACGGCCUCGGUGUAAC